rnacentral:tRNA from 1 species
GAGGGUGUAGCUCAGUGGUAGAGCGUGUGCUUACCAGGCAUGAGGUCCUGAGUUCAAUCCCCAGCACCUCCA